rnacentral:rRNA from 1 species
UACGUAGGUGGCAAGCGUUGUCCGGAUUUACUGGGCGUAAAGGGCGUGCAGGCGGUCUGUUAAGUUCAGGGUGAAAGCUCCCGGCUCAACUGGGAGAGGUCCUUGGAUACUGGCAGACUUGAGGGAGGUAGAGGAGAGUGGAAUUCCCGGUGUAGUGGUGAUAUGCGUAGAUAUCUGGAGGAACACCGGUGGCGAAGGCGGCAUCCUGGACCAAUAUUGACGCUGAGGAGCGAAAGCUAGGGGAGCAAACGGG